rnacentral:rRNA from 1 species
AGUGAACGCUGGCGGUAGGCCUAACGCAUGCAAGUCGAACGGCAGCACAGUAAGAGCUUGCUCUUACGGGUGGCGAGUGGCGGACGGGUGAGGAAUACAUCGGAAUCUACUUUUUCGUGGGGGAUAACGUAGGGAAACUUACGCUAAUACCGCAUACGACCUACGGGUGAAAGCAGGGGAUCUUCGGACCUUGCGCGAUUGAAUGAGCCGAUGUCGGAUUAGCUAGUUGGCGGGGUAAAGGCCCACCAAGGCGACGAUCCGUAGCUGGUCUGAGAGGAUGAUCAGCCACACUGGAACUGAGACACGGUCCAGACUCCUACGGGAGGCAGCAGUGGGGAAUAUUGGACAAUGGGCGCAAGCCUGAUCCAGCCAUACCGCGUGGGUGAAGAAGGCCUUCGGGUUGUAAAGCCCUUUUGUUGGGAAAGAAAAGCAGCAGGUUAAUACCCCGCUGUUCUGACGGUGCCCAAAGAAUAAGCACCGGCUAACUUCGUG